rnacentral:tRNA from 1 species
AUUUAAAUAGCUUAUAAUAGAGUGUAAUAUUGAAGAUAUUAAGGAGAUUAUUUAAUCUUUAGAUA